AAGCUUCAUUAACUUAUUAAGGCUGUUAAAGGGUGAAUUGGAAAGGUAGUACCUUUGUUUAGUAAUAUAUAAAAUAUCGUGUCUUGCUUGCAUUUUAAUACUAAUGUUGUUCCUUUUCAAGAAUUGUGUAUCUAUUUAUCUGAUAGGUCAUGAACGAGUUGGCAAAGAGACGCGUCGAAACUGAAUGGUAAUUUUAAUUUUUAGGUUUCUUGAAAGUGAUUUUGAGCUUAUGUCUCACAUAUGCAGUAGUCACAUGUUUGAGGUGGUGAAUGAUAACUCCUUAUCUCUUGGCAUGUCCUUUUAGUAUGUAUACGAGUGCAGAGCAUAAAGUAUUGAUGAGAGCCACCAAUGUUGUGAUUGUCGGAAAUGUUGCUGCUGUAUGUGGAUAUGUAUAGGAAAGGUUGUGGUGCUGACAUAGGGUGAUGUGAAGUAUACGAGUGCAGAGCAUAGAGAUUUCAAGACGAUUAUCACAGCCAUUUGUAUAUGAUGAAUGCUUGUAUAUAUAGUGAAAUUUGUUCUUAGUGCACUAAAGAUUCAUGUACAUAUGAAAUUACGAUUUUGUGAGAACAUUUUCGUCUCGUUAUGUGUAUAUAAGUUUUUCUAA